rnacentral:rRNA from 1 species
AUUGAACGCUGGCGGCAGGCCUAACACAUGCAAGUCGAGCGAGCGGCGGACGGGUGAGUAAUGUCUGGGAAACUGCCUGAUGGAGGGGGAUAACUACUGGAAACGGUAGCUAAUACCGCAUACCAUCAGAUGUGCCCAGAUGGGAUUAGCUAGUAGGUGGGGUAACGGCUCACCUAGGCGCCGAUCCCUAGCUGGUCUGCGAGGAUGACCAGCCACACGGGAACUGAGGUACGGUCCGGACGCACAAGGUAGGCAGCAGUGGGAAAUAUUGGCAAAUGGGCGCGAACCGGAUGUAUCGAUGGCGCGGGGGUGAAGAAGUCCGUCGGUAUUUAAUGCGCUUUCAUCGGGUAGGCGUUACCCGCAGAGAAAGGACCGGCUAACUCCGUGCCAGCAGCCGCGGUAAUUC